rnacentral:rRNA from 1 species
CAGUCGCCACGGGAAUACGUAGGUGGCAAGCGUUGUCCGGAAUUAUUGGGCGUAAAGGGCUCGCAGGCGGUUUCUUAAGUCUGAUGUGAAAGCCCCCGGCUCAACCGGGGAGGGCCAUUGGAAACUGGGAAACUUGAGUGCAGAAGAGGAGAGUGGAAUUCCACGUGUAGCGGUGAAAUGCGUAGAGAUGUGGAAGAACACCAGUGGCGAAGGCGACUCUCUGGUCUGUAACUGACGCUGAGGAGCGAAAGCGUAGGGAGCGAACAGGAUUAGAUACCCGUGUAGUCCCUGUCUCUUAUAU